UUAAGGUUGUUUUGUGGUUGGUUUGGUUCGAACGGAGAAGAAGAGUGACAGAGAGAGUGAGAGAGUCGUGAGGGAAGAGAGAGAGAGACAGCAUGCAGAAAAUAGGGAGAGGAUUGAGGGGUGUGGGGAUCCCACGUGGUCCUUUUCCAAUCCCCAACUCCAAACCACAAAAUUUUAACCUAAAAAUCUAAGUUCCAUCCUUAUUAAAUUCCAUUUUAUUUUCAAAACUUAGGAACCUAGAUAAUUAUCAACUUGAGCUUCACAUACUUAGUAUUUCUUAAGGGCAAUUUCGUCCAUUCACAGCCACGAAUGUAAUAUUUUGGAACGGGCUGUGACA
rnacentral:lncRNA from 1 species